AGCUGCUUACAAUGAACAUUGUGACUCUGCCCCAGGACUUCCUUUUCUGUCUGGGAAGCGAAUGUGGCCUGUGUAUAGGGCAAUCAAGAAGUGCCCAAGAGCUACAGAGAAGGAAAGACACCUCGACAGCUUCCUCAUCCUCAGUUGAGAGUGUGUGUCCAGGGUCACCCGAAUCACGUAGAUGGCCUCGACAUGAGAACCGUUUUACCCAUUGAAGGAAUUAAACAGGAGUUGGAAAGAGCUCAACAAGACCAGCCAAAGACUCAAAGAACAUUUGGCUCAAGGAAAUUCCAGAAGAGAAAGAGCUGGUGAAAAGGGAGGCUGGAAUCCUGGCAACUCCCUCCCACCCAAAGCAGGAAGGGUAGUUCAAGCUGCCAAAGGAAAGAUCCAGGCCAGGCUGGGAAGCCACCUUCAUACAUGGGAAUCUAGGUUGACAGACACUCUAUCAUCACUGGGCUGACUCACCUAGAACCCAGGACCUCCAGGACAACUGUAAGAAGGGAAGAGAAGGCAUGGUGGGAGGACACGGGCUCCUGAAACCUUCAGCUCGUUAGUGAUAAAACCUCAUUUCUGCUCUCAGCGCCUUUGCCAGCACUAGUCACGUGGUCUCCAUCUAACCAGCGGGGAGGUGGCUUGCAUGUGGCCUGGAGCCUCGGUUUCCUUCUAGCCCUGUCAAUUUGCACUUUUCUUGUAUCCACAGUCUUGAAGAAAUGCCAUGAGAGCUGAUGUUAGAUUUCCCAUCUGACACAGAGGAGGUCUCCUUUUAAACAAUAAUAAAAAUAGCCUCCAUUUA